rnacentral:rRNA from 1 species
UACGUAGGGUCCGAGCGUUGUCCGGAAUUACUGGGCGUAAAGAGCUCGUAGGUGGUUUGUCGCGUUGUUCGUGAAAACUCACAGCUCAACUGUGGGCGUGCGGGCGAUACGGGCAGACUGGAGUACUGCAGGGGAGACUGGAAUUCCUGGUGUAGCGGUGGAAUGCGCAGAUAUCAGGAGGAACACCCGUGGCGAAGGCGGCUCUCUAGUACGUGACUGACGCUGAGACGCGAAAGCGUGGGGAGCGAACAGG